rnacentral:tRNA from 1 species
AACUGACUGAGUUGGUAGAGUACAACUUUGCCAAAGUUAGGGUAGCGAGUUUGAAUCUCGUUUUCACUCCA